rnacentral:rRNA from 1 species
UACGUAGGGUGCGAGCGUUGUCCGGAAUUAUUGGGCGUAAAGAGCUUGUAGGCGGUUUGUCGCGUCUGCUGUGAAAUCUCAAGGCUCAACCUUGAGCUUGCAGUGGGUACGGGCAGACUAGAGUGUGGUAGGGGAGACUGGAAUUCCUGGUGUAGCGGCGAAAUGCGCAGAUAUCAGGAGGAACACCGAUGGCGAAGGCAGGUCUCUGGGCCACUACUGACGCUGAGAAGCGAAAGCAUGGGGAGCGAACAGG